AUUGAACGCUGGCGGCAUGCCUUACACAUGCAAGUCGAACGGCAGCACGGGAGCAAUCCUGGUGGCGAGUGGCGAACGGGUGAGUAAUAUAUCGGAACGUGUCCAGUAGUGGGGGAUAGCCCGGCGAAAGCCGGAUUAAUACCGCAUACGACCUACGGGUGAAAGCGGGGGAUCGCAAGACCUCGCGCUAUUGGAGCGGCCGAUAUCAGAUUAGGUUGUUGGUGAGGUAAAAGCUCACCAAGCCUGCGAUCUGUAGCUGGUCUGAGAGGACGACCAGCCACACUGGGACUGAGACACGGCCCAGACUCCUACGGGAGGCAGCAGUGGGGAAUUUUGGACAAUGGGCGCAAGCCUGAUCCAGCCAUGCCGCGUGCGGGAAGAAGGC
rnacentral:rRNA from 1 species